rnacentral:rRNA from 1 species
AACGAACGCUGGCGGCAUGCCUAGCACAUGCAAGUCGAACGAGGUCUUCGGGCCUAGUGGCGCACGGGUGCGUAACGCGUGGGAACCUGCCCUUAGGUUCGGAAUAACUCCGCGAAAGGGGUGCUAAUACCGGAUAAUGUCUUCGGACCAAAGAUUUAUCGCCCAUGGAUGGGCCCGCGUUGGAUUAGCUAGUUGGUAGGGUAAAAGCCUACCAAGGCGACGAUCCUUAGCUGGUCUGAGAGGAUGAUCAGCCACACUGGGACUGAGACACGGCCCAGACUCCUACGGGAGGCAGCAGUGGGGAAUAUUGGACAAUGGGCGAAAGCCUGAUCCAGCAAUGCCGCGUGAGUGAUGAAGGCCUUAGGGUUGUAAAGCUCUUUUACCCGGGAUGAUAAUGACAGUACCGGGAGAAUAAGCUCCGGCUAACUCCGUG